GUGAUUUUAUGGUGAAGCUGAGUAUUGCUCCCAGCACCAAGCAAUAAGUGCUGUAAGAUAAAACAAGAGGCAUUUAAAAGUUGGAUAAUUGAAGAAGCACCUCGAUAAAGAAGAAAUAACUUCCAAAAAGGGAACAAAUCUAAAUCUAGCAAAAUCUCCUAAUUGAAGAAAAAUAACCUGUAUAAGGAAAAUCUCUUCUGCAAUAGUUUUCGGACAAGGCAAUAAAAUAGUCCGUAUCUCCCCAGAUAUGGAAACGAGGGAAUCUUCCCAUAUUGGGAACCAUGCACAAUGACUCAUUCCCAAAAGGACCACUCUUUCUUCAUACGACACCGUGAUACGAAACCCACGUCAAGGAGCCAAAGAAUUAUAUGAAAGCUGCAUUACACAUCCCACAAAAAGGGAAAAACAAAUAGAGAAAUUAUAAAUUUCGUUGGAGACCCACUUGUAGGUUUGGUAACAGUAACUGAAAAACCCAAAUCAAAGCCAGAUUUAGAACAAGCGAAGCGUGAAAUUACCUCCGGAAAAUGGUCCAGUAGACAUCGCAGGCUCCACUAGAUUUAGUUCAACUGCGGCUCUACCCACCUUACUCAACAGAGCCUGGCAUCAGGUUUUUUUUUUUGCUGCUUUUGCUUUCCCCUUGGCUUUCUUUUACUCACCGGUCACCACUCAAUUACUGUGUUUGGCAAAAAAGUCUGCAUCUGGUCCACCACCAUCAAUGAUUCCUUCAAGUUCAAGCCCUUGGCAAAAGAGACCAGUCCUUACUCUUUGCUUUGCAGUUUGCUGCUGUGAUUCUGCAUUCCGCUUACCUUCAUUUUUCCUGUAUUGAAUCUCGCUGAAUU
rnacentral:lncRNA from 1 species